AAGUGGUAGCUGUUUUAUCUGGUGGGUUUGUAGGUGUAGGUGAUAGUUUAGGUUCUACAGACACAGAACUACUAAAAAGGUGUUGCGGUGCAGAUGGCCGUUUGUUAAAAGCAUGGCGUCCUGUAAAAGCAAUUGACAGUCAAAUUAUACAGAGAGCUUUCCAGGAUGGCAGUGGACCGAGUGGUGAAGUAUGGUAUAGCUAUUCUGUCAUUUCAACCAACAUUACAGAACAUAAUCUGAAAUAUGGUAUAGUGUUUGCUGCCGAACAAAUGGGGGAAUAUAUUAUGACACCUAUGUCUAUAAAUCUGGAAGAUAUAUAU